GGAAAAUGGGUUUUGCGGCGGCGGUGUCGGCGGUGGUGUUGGUGGUGGUGUUGGCAGUGAUGCCGGAGAUGGCAGUGGCUGCGGUUUAUAAGGUUGGCGACGCCGCCGGGUGGACCAUCAUCGGCGGUGUCGACUACAAGCAAUGGGCUGCUACUAAGACUUUCCAGCUUGGCGAUGUCAUCGUGUUUGAGUACAAUCCCCAAUUUCACAAUGUAAUGAGAGUAACGCAUGGGAUGUACAAAUCAUGCAAUGUGUCACGCCCAAUUGAGACCCACACUUCCGGCAACGAUUCCAUCACAAUUGAAAGCAGAGGCCAUCACUUUUUCCUAUGCGGCGUUCCCGGUCACUGCCAGGCCGGCCAGAAGGUCGACAUUAAUGUCCAACGCCUCACUUCCACCGCCGCUGCCCCUCAGCCCUCCGCCUUGGCCUCCCCCUCCGUCCCCAUCGCACACACCCCCGCCGCACCGGCACCCAAAGCCGCCGCCCCUCGCCUCGCCGCUGGAUUUGUGCUAUUGCUUUUGGCAUUCUCUGUUGUAGCGAUUGGGGUUCCUGCUCUUGCUUAAUAAACUUUUCUUUGAUUGGGC
rnacentral:misc_RNA from 1 species